rnacentral:rRNA from 1 species
UACGUAGGGCGCAAGCGUUGUUCGGAAUCAUUGGGCGUAAAGGGCGUGUAGGCGGUUUGUUAAGUCAUGUGUGAAAUCCCUCAGCUUAACUGGGGAACUGCGUGUGAUACUGGAUGGCUUGGAUUUGGGAGAGGGAUGCGGAAUUCCAGGUGUAGCGGUGAAAUGCGUAGAUAUCUGGAGGAACACCGGUGGCGAAGGCGGCAUCCUGGACCAAUAUUGACGCUGAGGAGCGAAAGCCAGGGGAGCAAACGGG